AUUGAACGCUGGCGGCAUGCCUUACACAUGCAAGUCGAACGGCAGCACGGGAGCAAUCCUGGUGGCGAGUGGCGAACGGGUGAGUAAUAUAUCGGAACGUGCCCAGUCGUGGGGGAUGACGCAGCGAAAGCUGUGCUAAUACCGCAUACGAUCUACGGAUGAAAGCGGGGGAUCGCAAGACCCCGCGCGAUUGGAGCGGCCGAUAUCAGAUUAGCUAGUUGGUGGGGUAAAGGCCCACCAAGGCGACGAUCUGUAGCUGGUCUGAGAGGACGACCAGCCACACUGGAACUGAGACACGGUCCAGACUCCUACGGGAGGCAGCAGUGGGGAAUUUUGGACAAUGGGCGCAAGCCUGAUCCAGCAAUGCCGCGUGCAGGAUGAAGGCCUUCGGGUUGUAAACUGCUUUUGUACGGAACGAAACGGCCCUUUCUAAUACAGGGGGCUAAUGACGGUACCGUAAGAAUAAGCACCGGCUAACUACGUGCCAGCCGCCGCGGUAA
rnacentral:rRNA from 1 species